rnacentral:rRNA from 1 species
GGAAGUAAAAGUCGUAACAAGGUUUCCGUAGGUGAACCUGCGGAAGGAUCAUUACUGAUUUAGCGAACCGAGCAUUAGCGAGGUUUUGCGAUCAAAUUAUAUUUAAAACCCACUCUUUAAUGUAUAAAAUUUGUAUUAUGAUAAAUUAAAAGAUCACUUUCAACAACGGAUCUCUUGGCUCUCGCAUCGAUGAAGAACGUAGCGAAGUGCGAUAAGUAAUGUGAAUUGCAGUAUUCCGUGAAUCAUCGAAUCUUUGAACGCAUAUUGCACUUUCUGGUAUUCCGGAAAGUAUGCCUGUUUGAGGGUCAGUUAAAUAAAAAUCGGUGUUGUUGCUGCCUUUCGUGGUGACGCGUCGGAAUUGAGUUGUCUUACCCUUCGGUUAAGUGACUUAAAAUUUUGCAUGAUUUUUGAACGUAUUUAAAUUUAUUUGUACGUUUGAGAUAUCGAAUGUUUAUUAGGUUCGGUCAUUCUAAUGACUCGCGCCUAUAGUUUUUCAUUAAAUGACCUCAAAUCAGGUAAGAAUACCCGCUGAACUUAAGCAUAUCAAUAAGCGGAGGA